UACAUGGGGUGCAACCGUUGCUCGGAAUUAUUGGGCGUAAAGCGCACGUAGGCGGUUUGUUAAGUCGGAUGUGAAAUCCCUCGGCUCAACUGAGGAAGUGCAUCCGAAACUGGCAAGCUUGAGUACGAAAGAGGGUCGCGGAAUUCCCGGUGUAGAGGUGAAAUUCGUAGAUAUCGGGAGGAACACCGGUGGCGAAGGCGGCGACCUGGGUCGAUACUGACGCUGAGGUGCGAAAGCGUGGGGAGCAAACAGG
rnacentral:rRNA from 1 species